rnacentral:lncRNA from 7 species
ACUGCUGAUUGAUGUGACAGAACUAAAUGCAAGCAGAAAGGUUUCUCCUGCCUUCCCUUCCUGUCGUUACUACUUUGGAGCAGCUGGGUGAGAGCCCUUUCCCAUUUGCAAGUCCACGAUGCUGUAGCAGUUCUCCUCCCUAGCACUACAACCUUUUGAGAAGAGGAGGAAGAGUGGGGUCAGGGUGCUGUUCCUCAAGGUUCUGAAACACUGAACAUCGCAGGAGUCAAGCAGAUUUACUGGCAAUUUUGAUCAUGGAUAAAAGCGAACUUCAAAUACAUCCAAAGCAAACUUGUACAGAAGCCUUAAACAGAUCUGUUGAAGAGAUUCCAGCCCAGUACGUUUUGUUAACCACCACGUAACUGACUGUAUUUCAGCUCUGCACGUUUUGAUUUGUGACUGCUCAAAAAAGUCAAGAGCGCAUACAUCUGAAAUGCCUGGCUGAAGUAUUUUGUAAAAGUGAUUGAUCAAGAGCAGGUCAGAUGUUUUUUUUUUUUCUGUCCUGCUUGAACAUGUUCAAAAUCAGAGUAAUUCUCAGCAUCUGGUAAAAUUUAUUAAUGUUUUCUGUCUUGGUUUCUUAAGUCUAUGUAGAGAAACAUAAUAAUCUGUGACAUAUUUUAUGAAUCCAAGGACAUUUUAUUCAGUCACCUGUCUAGACACGCACAAAUAAGUUGCUAGAUAUUUCAGCACAUGCAUAAAAGACUGACAAAGCAGCAUACUGAAAAAGUCCUUUUAUUAGUAGCUGUCUGCUUGAAGAGCAUUGAUAAAGUAUGAAACUGAGAUGUUAAGUUAGGAAAGGGAAAACUCUCAUGCAAAGUAAGUAAUGCAGAGCCUUGCCCUUCAGUAGCUGAGGCAAGGUUUUGGAAUGAUGGUUGUGCUGAGAACGCUUGCAAUAAGAAAUAUCAUCAUAUUUUGGCUUUUCUUCAGCAGUUAACUGUGACAGUAAAAGACAGAAAUAUCAUCUUUAGAUUGUUUACCAAUUUCACUCUUUUAAUGAGCAUUCAGCCAGUUUACAAAGAGUUUUGCUGUUGUAGAUCACGCCUUUACAAGCUUCUUGUGUAUAGAAGGUCUCUCCAGUGUAGGGGUUUAGUGGUCUCAAGAAGAAACCAAUUAAAAGCAGCUGCUUUAAAAUGAACACUGUCACUUUAAAUCUGAAAGCUUUCAUAUGUCUUUGAUUCUGUGACCAUUAAUUGUUUUCCCUUGAAAUCUGUUAUAAUUUAUGGGAAAUCAUUAGUCUGUUGAAGAAUGACACGAAAACAUGAUUUUGUAAUUCUUCUGAGCACUGUUAAAAUGAUUUCCCACAAUUGUUAUUUCCUUUAGGACUACGAAGUGUCCUUAUUAUCAUUGUGUCCCAUAGCCAUAACGGCUGUAUAUAAUAACUCGGCUGCUUGGCUAUCAGUACCUUUUAUGGGAAUUUUAUGUUGUUGUUCAGCUGUAAGUCUCAUCUUUCACAUGGCUGAUACGUCUCAAUAAUGUUUUUGAUGUGCAU